rnacentral:rRNA from 1 species
CCUACGGGAGGCUGCAGUGGGGAAUAUUGGACAAUGGGGGGAACCCUGAUCCAGCCAUGCCGCGUGUGUGAAGAAGGCCCUCGGGUUGUAAAGCACUUUCAGUGAGGAAGAACGCCUGGUGGUUAAUACCCAUCAGGAAAGACAUCACUCACAGAAGAAGCACCGGCUAACUCCGUGCCAGCAGCCGCGGUAAUACGGAGGGUGCGAGCGUUAAUCGGAAUUACUGGGCGUAAAGCGCGCGUAGGUGGCGUGAUAAGCCGGUUGUGAAAGCCCCGGGCUCAACCUGGGAACGGCAUCCGGAACUGUCAAGCUAGAGUGCAGGAGAGGAAGGUAGAAUUCCCGGUGUAGCGGUGAAAUGCGUAGAGAUCGGGAGGAAUACCAGUGGCGAAGGCGGCCUUCUGGACUGACACUGACACUGAGGUGCGAAAGCGUGGGUAGCAAACAGGAUUAGAUACCCGUGUAGUC